ACACAGUCUGGGAAGGAAGCAACAAAAGGCUGCUGAGACGUGACCUGUCACAGCUGAGAGCCCAGGCUGGACACGCUCUUAUCUCUGUGUCGUCCCCUCUCCUAAAAAGGUCAUCCCGUGAGCCGGUGGCAGGAGGCGGUGAGGACAGAGACCUCUGGUGGCUCUGCCAGGUGCAGAGAGAGUGUGGGACCUGCAGCGGCGGCAGGGAGUCCAGGAUCCCGCCAGCCGUGUGAAGUGCAGAGCCCUAGCACUGACCCUUAAUCUGGACCACGAGAGACAGGAAAGGCUGUCUUAAAGAUCAACCUUUUGUCCAGUGUGUGUACAGCCAGGAUGUACGUGGCCACAUUUAAUCAGGCUAGGAGGGAAAAGCUUACAGUAUACAUCUCUCUGCUCCAUGAAAAUAUCUCACAUGUCUUAAUUGUAAGAAAAGGAUCACUACUAGGCUGACUUGGGAAUUAAUGUUACAGUUAAGCUCGCCUACCCGAGUUGCAAGUUUUAUUAAUAUAUUGAAAGUCAGUCCCCUGCAGCAGUGUAAAGUCCUCUUUCUCUCCAUCUGGGAUGACGGAAGCUGGACCCGGUUGUGCCUUGGCCUGGGAGCGCACAAGGCCUGGCACGGGGACUGCCGACCUUAGGUGUGGUCCUGUCCACUCCACUCAGGCCUGCCUGGAGCCGUGAAAGCACGCACUUGGUCACGUGAUGACCAAGUCAUCCAGCCUGCUCUCCAAAGAUGCUGCCAAAUUCCCUGUGUACCUUGCUGAAAACUAUUUCUUCUUAGCGUCAAAAAACUAACUCCCCACUCCGUACCAUUUUGCCAUUCUGACUGCUGUCAUAUUUUUCGCUUCACUUCAAGUACUUUUUCGCACCCUCUGUUGGAGCAGAGGAGGCAAGAGAAGCACCGUGGAGAACAAAGGACAAAAGAACCAUCCUGAAGGAAUACCUGUCACCAUGGCAGCGAUGGUUAGCAUUUCAUCGACACAGUCAAAUUCACAGGAUGCUAAGAUGGACUUGGAGAGUUGUGGAUCAAGAGGGAACUCUGACAUGAUGAUUCCGAAUUCAGAUAGAUUUCCAUCAUUGUCCAGUGCUGCCAGGUAAUCUAAGUCUUCCAAAGCCUGCAUCAGACUCUCUGGUGCUGGGGAAGACAAAAUUAACAAUUAGAAAGUCUCAUACCACCAAGAUGGGGUAACAGGUACUGGAUUUUCCCUCCCACAGAGAACCACCAAAUGAUAAGCAAAAUAUGUGAAACAACAGUCUGAGAGACAGAGACCACCAGGCAGUGAAUGACAGUGAUUCCUGAGAGGGGUCAUCACGCAGGAAGCUUUACUGCCCUCAGUUUCCAGGCUGUGAUGGUAGGAGGGGAAUUGGGGGAGCUGCCGGGUUCCCCACAUCAUGGAGAUGGUGCUGAGGGUCCCUGGAGACUCGGGUGGCCAGAGCUUGAAGGUCAGACUUCCUGAGAGAGCUCUGCAGGAGGACUCAGAUGGACGAGGGCCCCUCGCUCAGUCAGCAGGGCCCAUAGGAGAAACCACUGCAGGCCAGGAAGGACAGAGGAUCCGAGCCUGAUGCACCCAUGCAGUCUACGACAGGCCCGUUCCCACCAGCCAGGCUGCAAAGCCUCACGGUUCAUGGGGCUCUGGGGAGGAAAAAAUAACUACGCUCUCCCACCACCCCCCACCCCAUAAGCGCAGUUCCAGUGCCACCUACAUAAUCCUGAAAUCAACCCCUGAAAGGAUCAUCCUGCAGCCCAGGGCAAGCUCGAGAAUACUUCUAGGAAUACGAAAUGUCCAAUAUCCAACGCAGUAAGACGGACUAUGUCUGGCAUCCAGUAAAAACCACGAGGUAGGAAAAUAGAAUCCCACAAUAAAGAGAAAAACGCACCAAUCAAAGCUGACCCAGAACUCACACAGGUGACAGCACCAGCAGCCAAGGAAGAGGAAGAGCUAUUUGCCAUUUGUGCAUUUAGAGACCCUGAGGCAAGGGUGAGGCCUUGAGAAGUCACAGCCCCCAGGAAGUGACUCCAAACAGAUGGGCUCUUUAGAAAAAGUAUUUAGUCUAAGGUGCCAAGCAAGCCCUGAAAUCAAAAGUAACACCUGACCCGCCCGAGAAGGUGCAAGAGGCAGCAGCAGAAUAAGCAUCUCUGAUUAAACAGGGCAGGAGGGGCUGUGAGUGCAAGCUUAAUUACUGAGAGCUGUUUAGAAACCAGUUUCCGUAAGUCAGCAAAGCUUCUUCAUCGUAAGUUACAGGAUCUCUGGCAACUGUCCCUGUGAGGAUUGGGCUGGACAGCCAGCCUCUGUCCCCAGAGGGCACUGCUCCUCAUUUUUAUACCCUGGAGUUGAGUUGGCUGCACCCAGGGUGACUGGUGGAAAUAACAUCAUAACUCUGCUUCCGGUCCUAACAGCGGAAGGAGACAAGAAGUUCUUGGGGGUUUUAUUAUGCUAGAAAGGACAUGCAGAUGGUACAGGUGAAGGAGCACUCAUAAAAAUAACUGCAUAAGGUUUGCUAAUAUUACAUUCUACAUCUUGAGCCAGCUCCCCAGUACGGCCCAUAAAAAUUUAGGUAAAAGAAAAGGGUUUAGAGGAGGAUUCUUUACGGCAGUGCUGUUUAAGUGUAAUCCGUGGUAGAUAACGCUAACAAAUGGAAUGUCGCUGUUUUAGUGCCAGGCCUCUUCUUUACAACACUGCAAAAUCACGCUGCUUUAUUCCAAAAGCAAUUUCAAUAUGAACAAAACAUCAUUUUUAUUAAGCUCUACUGCCCACGGCCGCUGUACUCCCUGCAGGAUAGCUCACUGCAGGGUCACACGCCUGCCCCCUGCCAUCACUCAGAGUCACCUAGAGGGCUACUGACACACUCUUUCCUGCGCCCUCUUCCCACGGAAUGCCAAUGCUCCAACAUGGAAUCUGCGUUUUCAUACCACAGCACCUGCAGAAAGGCUGCUCACAGACAGGCCGUUUGUCUGGAAUAAGGGUUGAGCCCAUAGCUGGAUGGAGGGCUCAGCGCUGAUCCAAAGCAGGAGCGCAGGUCCAAUGGGUCCAGGGCUCUGCUGUGUCAUUUCUAGAACCAACAGCCUCACAUGGCAUCUUUCCUAUGGCCUUGAAAAGUCUGCCAAGAUUUUCAAUGUCAAAUAGCAGGGUCUCCCCUUCCCUGUCACGGGGAACUCCGCUCAGGUGCUCAGCAGGCGAGAGAAGAAUGCAGAGAUGGAGACAGGAAGCUGCGUGACUGUGCCGUUCAACCUCUGCCCUCGGGGGUCCCGGAGGCAUGGCUUGGGGUCACAGGACACCCUACGUCCUUGUCCCGACACCCUUGGGCUGAUGCUAGUCUGAGUGGCAUCACUGGCACCACCCGCAGCCAGAAGAAUUGUGAUGUGUGGACACCAUGGCAUCAGAAAUCCUGUCACAAAGCAAGAGCGAAUCGAAGCACCACUGCCUUGGUGGGGGGGACAGCUGUGCUCACCCCGUGCAGGCCCUGUGUUGUGUAGGCGUGUGAAUUACACACACGCACACAUAUGCAGACGGACGUGGAGAAAGACAGCUGGACAGGGCAGGAGGGCCUGGUGGGAUUUAGGACUGGGGCCCGGGCAUCGUGUGCACCCAAGUAGAGCACCCAUGGAGCGGAGAAACGGAAGAAUCAUGACGGUGGCUGGUUGGGGGUGUAGACUCUCAAGAGUCCGGGGACUCUCAGGCAAUGGGAGUAGGAGUUUGACUCUGGAGAGGAAGGGAAGGCCCCUGUCUCACUUAAUUUCACCAGGACAGGCUCUUAAGUUCUGGCAGGUGCCAGCCUCCUCCUGUUACGCAGUGCACGCAGCACCUCUGCAUAAAUGAUCUCAUUUGCACCUCUUAACCCUCUGUCCGCAUGUUACCGAUGGGGAAAUGGUGAGCGACCUGCACAGCCACAGGGCUCACCAGCCUUGCUGCUCAGCUGUGGGCACAGCCUCUGGACCAGCCUUCCUGCGGCGGCUGUUCCAGCCUGUGCGCCAUCGGCACGGCCGCCUCCAGUCUUGUCUCUCUUGGUUCCAAAGCCCAGCUCGGCUCCUGCCCAUCUUGGCUCCUCCCAGGGAGCCCAGCGUGGCCUCCCAAGGCCUGGGGAUCAGUACCUGUUUUUCACACCAUCAAAAGUGCCUCGAGAGGAUCUCCUGUAGCCUGGGGCCAAUAAGCCUUCUGUGUCAGAGCUCAGGUGGGCGCCACGUGGGUGGUGACAGCUGAGCAUGUACUCCACAUGCAUCAUCGUUCUCGGGGGCCACAGAGAGGAAGAAGGUACUGGCCUCUGCGAAGAGACUGCUCUGGUGAUGCUCGUGUUCAAAUGAACACGCCAAGGCGCCCAGUGGGCAACACGCUCGCCGAAUGUCACGCAGCUGGUAACGAGGGCCAGGGUGCUGGGGUGCCUGCAAUCCGGGCCGCCUCUGGCCUGGUGUGCCGAGGAAAGCCCCGUUUCCCUCUCUCCCCCAGCUCGAGGAAGGCUGGUGUUCCCGUUCAGCCUCCACCAGCCGGGCCCAAAUAACAGAUCCUAGUCACUGGACCCACAAAGAGCUGAACGGGUUCUGAGGGCUGAAGGCGCUUCCUUCUGUGUCUUCUAAGCUCUCCCUCAGAUUUUCUUUUCAUUCUGAAAAUGACCUCCUCUCGCUCCCGUGUGCCUCACGACACUGGCUCGCACGGGUUUCGGCACCUUCAUGCCUCUUCUCCGCCCUCCUCCCCGCGUCUAGGAACAGCGGUCGGCUGUGUGUGGCCUCGGGCAGAUGACGUGUGGCCUCUGUGAAUUCAAAAACCGAAGUGGGGCCUCCUGGCAGCACUGGGGUCGAAUCCUGGCUGUCUGGGGGCGACCGGCAGCACGCUCCCUGCCGGGGAUGGAGGGAUCCACGCCAGGCUCCCUCCCAUGGCCCGUUUCCCUCCGAUCUCUUCACACAGACUGUUAGGUUUUAGCCCCUUUGUAAACUCCAGAGCGGAAUCUCGCAUUUCCCGCGAUGAAGGACCCACCACUUCUCGGGUGCAUUCACCAACCAGGCUCCUCGGAUGGAAGAGAAAACUGCCGAGCGUCUUGACUCCCUGACUCACAGGCUGAGAAGUCCCAGCCUCAUCCCCACAGGUCAAGGGUCUGGAUGCGUCUUCAGGGCCCUGACCCAACCCUGCCCUUUCCGCCUUCCCCCGUCUCUGAGACGGCCCUGUCUCAUCCCGAAUGCCAUGUCUGGCAAGUCUGCAUUUGGGUCCACUCUUCACAGAUGGUUCCAAUGCCAGUCGUCUGGCCUCCAGCAAAACGAGCUCUGAGGCCAGAUACCAAGGUGAUGUCUGGCGUGGGCCUGGGCUCGGCAAGCUUGUCCCCGCCCGUGCUGACGGCGCUCCCCUGCCUUCCCAGAGGGAAGAUGCCUAGAACCACCUCAAGUGGUCGGCUGGCCCUGGACUCCCUGACCUGGAUCAACAGGGACUUCGUCCUCCACUCACCAUGGAGCUCUCUGCUCUAGGCCCCACGCACGGAGUGAGCAGCAGCGGGUGACCACGAGAAACACAGCAGUUCCUCUGCACUCUGGCUGUGCUGUGCCAUUUGCUUUUUAAAAUCCUGGACGUUACAAGGCCUGCUCUUCUUCUCUCAUCAUGCUGGUCCACCAAGUAACUACUGGAAUGAAAACAAGAUGCCAGGCAAUCAACGUGAAAGAAAAGAAAGUGAAGCCGCUCAGUCGUGUCCGGCUCUCUGUGACCCCAUGGACUGUAGUCCACCAGUCUCCUCAGUCCAUGGAAUUUU